AUGGUCCAAACUGCAAUAAUACCCAACUGCAGCCACUGCGACCCCCGAAGCCACUACAAACCACGCCCCAUACAAACCACGCCUCUACAAACUACGCCUACGUGUUGCUACGGUGGCCGGGAAGGACGAUUAAACUCACAGCAGCAAAUGCAAGCAGUCAAAGAAGAAGAAGAAAAAGGAAAAUGCAGCCAAGACAAGACGGCAAUGCCAGUUCAGAGUCCACAGGACAUCGACCACAUGUACAGCAAGAGGCCUUACAGCUCUCCACCCAGAGAGCAUGUUAAUGACUAUAAUGACAGCAUGGACUAACAUGAUGUGGUCACCACAACCAGAGACGUUGGGAUCCUGAGUGAAGACGCAUCUUUCCACAGGCUUGUG
rnacentral:lncRNA from 1 species